CAUUCAAUAAAACCGUUUCAUAGAGCGCGGUUUCUACACAUGUACGGGCCGCUUUAUAGCAAUCGCAAUUUUUUUCAAGUAUCACUUGUCAUUUCAACUAAGACUAAGGGCGUAAAUGGUACAACGGCCGGAACGCACAAGGCUGUAUUGUUUAUUUCGCUUACAGCCCACUUGUUACUAGGAUCUUUGACUAGUAAGUGUUAAACAGUCCACCAAUCCCAACCGUCAAAGUGGUGUACGUGCGAAUGUAAACUUUCGACAAGUUUAGCCAUGUUGCAGUAGGUUAAGUGCAGAGGAUUGAAAUUGGUUGGCGAACGGUGACAAGCUUCUAUCAUCGACGAGAAAAAAAUGACACAGGACGAGAAAAUUGUGCAGCGAGUCCGGAAUUUAAACCUGGGACCCCUUGUUCUUCUGAUUGAGCUAAUCAGGGCGCCACAAAACAUCUCCCCUUUAGGGACAAUCACUAAGUUUGUGCACUGACAUUCUGCUCUGCCAAGCUGGAAUUUGUUCGAGAAUUCAAGUCACAAGGAUCAUUGUUAACCUGAUCCAUUCAAACCACGAAUAAAUUUUGUUGAGAAUUGCUUGUGCCAUGGUCCCACAUUGGGCACCAAAUGUUGCAGAAUGGGAAAAUUGUACAGCCACAUGGAACUCGAAUUUUUACCCCUCGCUAUCAGGGCCAGUGCCUAUGAGAAUGCUGUUAGAUACAUGUGGACAAUAAAACAUGUAGUUAAUUACUUGAUCAGUAUUAAUGGUGACCGGUAACCUGCUAAUUUGGAACUGCCACCAUUGUGGGAUCAUACUAUUGGUCAUUUAUAUCAAGUUCUGAACAUAUUGACUAACCUACAUGUAGAAUAGUAGAUGUGUGUUUCUGUUCACAAUGCUUAAAACUAUCAAUCUAUAAACUGCAGUUCUAGGUCUUAUUGCCAUUUAAAGAUAUAAUAAAAUACGAUAAAUGAAAUGCUUAACAUUGCUGAAUUCUUCAUUCCUGCCCUUGUAUUUCAAGAGAGAAUACUUUCCAGUCAACCCGAUUUGAAAGAGGUCUGGGUCUAAAUCCCAGCAGGGGCUCCAGAAGUUGAUGUAAUGGCAACAAAACAUUUAUUGAUAAUAUUCAAAUGGUACUUUUAUUUCAAUACAAUUAUUGCAAUGGUUUUUAAUUGCAUUGACUAGUUUAUAAAUAUCAAAUUUGCCUGAAAUCAAAAAUUUCAUUGUAAAUACAUACAUAAAGCAACGAUCCUGAUUACUGAAUAUUUCAUUUGAUAAUGUCAAUAUCAGUAUCAACUUCCCAUUACCAGUAUAUACACCAUUUAAAACAACUUCAGUUUGUGAAAAUAUCCACAAAAUAAACCAUUAGAAAAUGAAAUAUACUGCUGUUUUUACUCAUGAAAUUGGGAAUUCAAGCGAUAAUUUAACCAACAUUGAGAAAAGACUAUACGUUUUCUCAAUUUUUAAAAUUAAAACAAUGAUGUCCCUUGGUGUUUUUUUUAAUGGAAUUGGGAAAACAGAUAUGUUUUUCGAUUGGGAAUAUGACCGAAUAACGGCUAUAAAAUCAGCUGGAAAAAAGCCCUGAGUUACAAGGCAAAUAAAUGUGCAUCUUAACUCUUAAGAAACACAUAGAUUUUAUUCAAUACCUUGUGUUUAUUUUUAUCAUGAUCUCUUACCAGUUAUAAUUUUACAUGAAACAGUAUAAUUUUCUAACACUUCCCUUUAAACAGGUUUACUGGGAUACAUGUGUUAUCUUUAAUUUUGAUUAAUAACUCAGAUUAAAUUUCGACACAUUCUUAAUGUAAAAUACAUGUAUUAUGACAUUUUUUAAAGUUUAAUAUUUCCAACAAAGUUGAUAUUCUGAAACAGCCUGUGGUACAAUAGGCCCUAUCGGUAUAUACAAAUUAUUCACAAUAUAUUUUUUUAAACAAAAAAAUAGCAUCAUGCAUUAUUUGUCUAUACAUCAUUUAUUAUCUAAAGUAGUAAUUGUCACAGUUAUUAUUUAAUACAUACACUUUUUUCUGCAAUCAAUUUUUACAUUUAUCAGUGCAAUAUGUACCCAUUCAUAUAGAAUGAAUGGCAUUCCUAUAGAUAAAAUUUUAAGAUCACAUUUUAAUGCUAGAAUAUUUUUAUAUUUUUAAGUGCUUGCAUGUACAUGUAUAUUUAGUGUUGUUAAUUAAGAUUGAAAAGAGACUAAAAAAAUAAGUUAUUGGUAUGGUACUGUAUGUUGAAACAUAAUUAAAGCUGAACAUGACGGAUUAAAAUGAAGUCAAGUUGUGUUUUCCUUUUUAUUUGAAUCAGAUAUAAAUUAUGGAAAAGUAUGCAAGUGUAUGAAAGAAAAAAGUAAGGACAUUCGAAUUUAGACCCCACACUGUCGCAUUUUCUCUUAUUGUUUUAUAUUGUUAAACUCAUCCUCUGCACUUGCGAAGAAUAUUAAAAAAAAUCCUGUCAUAUGUAAUCAUGUUUAAAUUUCUGUACUUUGAUGCAUUGCUGUACCUUCUGAAUAUCCUAAAUAAAUGAUAUUGACAUUGAACAAAACAAGGACAUGCACUACUGUAUCAGCAAUUCAGGUCUUUUUCCAGACAUUUGCUAAGGCACAUGGGAAAAUAUGUGUGCUUCACCAAGUACUGGGUUACCCCUUUGAAUUUGUUUAAUUUUAGGCACUUAAUCAAAUGUUACUGUACUUAAGAAAGUGCAAUCAUGAUAUUGAUGAAUUACAGCAACACACAUUGGUGAGAAAAUGUGAUCAUUAAAUUAAAGAUUUAGGCACAGGGGUGCCCUGGUGCUUAAAAAGCCUGUGGAAAGGCAUGAGUAUUACAAGUAUGGUGAUUUAUUAUUUAUUUAAAAGAUCAUGUAGAGAAUUGAAUAAAUGUUAUAGAAGCUUG